GCAAGCCACAGCCGAAUUCUGCUCAGACCUGGGAUCCACCAGCCUGUGGACAUCGAAGGCCAUUCAAAAGUUAGUUGAACCCCAGUACUAUCAACUAAUCGAACUUCACGAUGCUAUUACACAGCAAUCCCACGAGAGUCUCCCGCCCGAACCUGGGUAGAAGGCUGAGAGUAGUAAGAGUUGUCCCAAUCCAACGAAGGCAAAGGAAAACCCGCAUACUAUUUUACUAUGGCCGCGUGGAUCAGCUCGAAUGGGAUCCUAAACUCUACACAUGGAGCGACACAACCCCCCUCAUGGCCUACACAGCCGCGUUUGGAAGAAUCUUGCUCAAGUCAAAACA
rnacentral:lncRNA from 1 species